rnacentral:rRNA from 1 species
AUUGAACGCUGGCGGCAGGCCUAACACAUGCACGUCGAGCGGAGCGGCGGAAGGGUGAGUAAUGCCUAGGAAUCUGCCUGGUAGUGGGGGAUAACGUCCGGAAACGGGCGCUAAUACCGCAUACUAUCAGAUGAGCCUAGGUCGGGUUAGCUAGUUGGUUGGGUAAUGGCCUACCAAGGCGACGAUCCGUAACUGGUCGGCGAGGAUGAUCAGUCAAACUGGAAAUUAGAAACGUUCCAGCCUCCUACGGGAGGCAGCAGUGGGGAAUCUUGGAAAAUGGGCGAAAGCCUUAUCCAGCCAUGCCGCGGGUGUGAAGAAGGUCUUCGGAUUGUAAAGCACUUGAAGUUGGGAGGCGUUACCAACAGAAUAAGCACCGGCUAACUUCGUGCCAGCAGCCGCGGUAAGAC